CUGAUUAUCAGUUAUUGAUUAUGAAGUGAUCACUAACAGGACAGACAGUAAAUAUACUGAAGGAGAAUCUACAGGUAGAGUCAUUGAUAGCCCCGCCCACAGGGCUCUCACCUUCCUGUCAUCAGAACAACCACGCCUUCUUUUGGGUGUAAAGUUCUUUAAAAGUGACAUAAAUAAAAAAUACCUAGUGGCAUCAUCCAUACAAGUUUUACUCUUCAGACAAUAACAAUAAAAACUCAAACACCGAAGACUGAAGGAGUCUGUGUCCAACUCUUCCUCACAGGUUAGUUAAUGACAGACAGUCAGUGAGUGUGUCUGUGUCCAACUCUUCCUCACAGGUUAGUUAAUGACAGACAGUCAGUGAGUGUGUCUGUGUCCAACUCUUCCUCACAGGUUAGUUAAUGACAGACAGUCAGUGAGUGUGUCUGUGUCCAACUCUUCCUCACAGGUUAGUUAAUGACAGACAGUCAGUGAGUGUGUCUGUGUCCAACUCUUCCUCACAGGUUAGUUAAUGACAGACAGUCAGUGAGUGUGUCUGUGUCCAACUCUUCCUCACAGGUUAGUUAAUGACAGACAGUCAGUGAGUGUGUGUGUGUCCAACUCUUCCUCACAGGUUAGUUAAUGACAGACAGUCAGUGAGUGUGUGUGUGUCCAACUCUUCCUCACAGGUUAGUUAAUGAUGUUACUGAGUCAAUGUGAGCAGAUUGUGUCUGUAGACUGAAGAGAGAUGGUGGAAAUAAAGGUUUUACUUCCUUAAAACAGCCAUUUUUUGAAUGGAGUUUGGUGUGACAGUGUGGAGCAGAGGGGAUUUGAACCUUAAUAAUUCCCAUAAACUGAGCUGACCUACCUUCUAAUAAUGAACCUUGGGAACAGCAGAGAGUAACAGGAAGUGGAGAUAAACCCUCCUGUUUUCUUCUUCUGUGGUCUCGUAGUAAAAGUUGGAUUAAUGAACACAAACAUUGGUUUACAGUAACGUCACAGACACAGAGACAGGGUUCAAUAAGGUCGCUGUAUACAGCAAUCAGCCAUGACAUUAUGAUGACAGUAAAUAAUACUGAUUAUCUGGUUAUUAUGGCUUAAUGUACUCGGCAUAGACAGUUUCAGAAUCAGAAAUACUUUUUUUUUUUCAGAUAACUUAUUAUUACUGUUAAUGUUACUGAUGUGUUUUAUUCAGGUUAUGUUGUUGUUUUGUUGAUCUGAUUAACUGUUACAGCUGUAACUAUAGUCUCUGAGACAGUGCUAUGUUAAUGUUAGUUAAUAUUAUGCUUCACACAGACACUGUGUCUUUGCAUGCAACUAACUCUCUUUUAACUGCCGUUAAUCUAAGAGCACACACACACACACACACACACACACACACACACACACACACACGCACACACCUAAAUUCAGCUGUAAACCUCAGCACACACGAGGAGAGGGAAAUCAAACCCUCACGCUCCUCUAUGCUCUUUGUCAUGUUAAGCUGAAACACUUAAGAAACACACCUUUUCCUUUACUUAAUUCCCCUUUAAGUUAGAUUGUAUAUUGUGUGUUUUCCCAUGUUUCACUUUUAUUAUUCCUUUAAUAAAUGCUUGUGUUUAUACAUGUUGGCCUAUUUAAUUUCACACAAGAGUGGGUGAUACUAGCCUCUAAGAACUCCCCAUCCUUGAACUUUGCGUGGGGCUGUGGCUCAGAGGUAGAGUGGGUCGUCCACUAAGGUUGGCAGUUUGAUCCCUGGCUCGUCUUGCUGCAUGUCGAAGUGUCCUUGAGCAAGAUACUGAACCCCGAACUGAAUGUGUAUGAAUGCUUAGUUUCUGUUUCUGGUGCAGUUGUCACCUUGCAGCUGCAGCCAUCCGUGUAUGAAUGUGUGCGGAUGGGUCAGUGUACACAAAGACACAACAGCAUUGUUUACCGACUGCAGAGAGUAUUUAGGAUCCUAAUAGAUAAAAUCAUUACAGUAUUCUUAUUUUAUGAUUAACAAAUUAACAAAGAUCAAAAUUUACAUUUACCCAAAAGGGGGCUGCUGUCAUCUAUGAUGUC